rnacentral:rRNA from 1 species
AUUGAACGCUGGCGGCAGGCCUAACACAUGCAAGUCGAGCGGAUGAGUGGAGCUUGCUCCAUGAUUCAGCGGCGGACGGGUGAGUAAUGCCUAGGAAUCUGCCUGGUAGUGGGGGACAACGUUUCGAAAGGAACGCUAAUACCGCAUACGUCCUACGGGAGAAAGCAGGGGACCUUCGGGCCUUGCGCUAUCAGAUGAGCCUAGGUCGGAUUAGCUAGUUGGUGAGGUAAAGGCUCACCAAGGCGACGAUCCGUAACUGGUCUGAGAGGAUGAUCAGUUACACUGGAACUGAGACACGGUCCAGACUCCUGCGGGAGGCAGCAGUGGGGAAUAUUGGACAAUGGGCGGAAGCCUGAUCCAGCCAUGCCGCGUGUGUGAAGAAGGCCUUUUGGUUGUAUAGCACUUUAAGCGAGGAGGAGGCUACCUGGAUUAAUACUCUAGGAUAGUGGACGUUACUCGCAGAAUAAGCACCGGCUAACUCUGUGCCAGCCGCCGCGGUAAUAC